rnacentral:rRNA from 1 species
UACGGAGGGUGCAAGCGUUAUCCGGAUUCACUGGGUUUAAAGGGUGCGUAGGCGGGUUGGGAAGUCAGUGGUGAAAUCUUCAAGCUUAACUUGGAAACUGCCGUUGAUACUAUCAAUCUUGAAUAUUGUGGAGGUAAGCGGAAUAUGUCAUGUAGCGGUGAAAUGCUUAGAUAUGACAUAGAACACCGAUAGCGAAGGCAGCUUGCUACACAGUAAUUGACGCUGAGGCACGAAAGCGUGGGGAUCAAACAGG